rnacentral:rRNA from 1 species
CCUACGGGGGGCUGCAGUGGGGGAUAUUGGACAAUGGGGGGAACCCUGAUCCAGCGACGCCGCGUGAGUGAAGAAGUAUUUCGGUAUGUAAAGCUCUGUCAGCAGGGAAGAAAGAAAUGACGGUACCUGACCAAGAAGCCCCGGCUAACUACGUGCCAGCAGCCGCGGUAAUACGUAGGGGGCAAGCGUUAUCCGGAAUUACUGGGUGUAAAGGGAGCGUAGACGGUUAAGUAAGUCUGGAGUGAAAGGCCGGGGCCCAACCCCGGGACUGCUCUGGAAACUAUUGAACUUGAGUGCAGGGGAGGUAAGCGGAAUUCCUAGUGUAGCGGUGAAAUGCGUAGAUAUUAGGAGGAACACCAGUGGCGAAGGCGGCUUACUGGACUGUAUCUGACGUUGAGGCUCGAAAGCGUGGGGAGCAAACAGGAUUAGAUACCCGGGUAGUC